rnacentral:rRNA from 1 species
AGCUUUUGACAUGGGAAGUAUGAGGAGUAGAGAUAUUCUUCUUCAGUUCGGCUGGCUUCCACAC